AUCUGAAAUUCAUGAAAGUUUUAAGAAAUGGCUUUAGAUGAAUGAAGCUUCCAUGUUCAUUGCCAACCCGACUGGUCCUCCAGAAAUGGUUACAAACCACACAAGGUCUUCUGGCAUACUAUUUUCUUGCAACGUACAACCUAUUUGUCUUAUUUUGCUUCUUUAGUUCUUCAUGUUGAUCGUGAUUUACGUUUUCUAUUAUAACUCAUAAUUAGGGGUAACAAUAAUAGGUCAGGGUACUAUGCCAUUCGAAGGAAUGUAUACAAUAUUGUUAUUCCAUAAGUGCUUCAUUCAUAGGACAUAACGAGCCAAAUUUAGAUAUGGCCAAAGACUGUCAAAGGAGGCGCACGACACUCCAAAUUGUUUGAGUUCAUCUAAUUGCUUAUUGACCGUGUUUUGUUAAAACAUUUUGCUUCUGUUCAUACAUCGAUUCUAGGGCAAUCAGGUCUGGACAAACUCUACUCCUGCACUACUGUCAUAUUAAUUCUGUUAAAUUUUGUGCUUCUGCUCCUAUAUCUCUAACAAUGCCAAAGAUUGUCUUGUCAUGUCCAUCAGAUACUUGACAUAGUUCCAAUCGCAUGUGUACUUCUUCCUUAAAUGGCUUUUUACGAAGAAGCUCAGAGUUUACUGGAAAGACGUCCAUGCAUAUUGGCAUGCCAAGGUCCAAGACAGGUACCUCCCAUGACUUGAUGAUUCGGAGACCAGAUAGAGGCGGUGUGCCAGCGGGAGAAGGGUGAACAAAGAGAACUGCGAUGGACGCUCAGAAGAAUCGACCGAAGCAUACAACAAAAAGGAACCGAAAAAAACAAAAUUGGGCAGUGAUAUGGCAAGGAUGGCGAUUUUCCAGAUUUAGAUUAAUCCACGUCCAUCAAAAAGACUCAAGCUAAGCUGUAUGUAGCCUUGUAGGGAUGUAUGUGUCAUAACCUGGCCAGUAGCAGAAAAAUCAUGGAUAGUGGAUGUAACAUGUAACUUUUGCUUUUCCUACAACCCGAUUGACUAUGGAUACGUAAUUGGAAUGAACCUCGUACUAUACCAUUCUAUCAA